rnacentral:rRNA from 1 species
AUAUCAGUCAUGCAUAGCAUAUCAAUAAGCGGAGGAAAAGAAACUAACAAGGAUUCCCUUAGUAACGGCGAGUGAAGCGGGAAGAGCUCAAAUUUGAAUCUUCAAGGUUUUACCUUGACGAAUUGUAGUUUAAAGAAGUGUUUUCUGUUGAAGUUUUGGUAAAAGUUCUUUGGAAUAGGACAUCAUAGAGGGUGAGAAUCCCGUAUUUGACCAUUACUUUCAGCUUUGUGAUACACUUUCAAAGAGUCGGAUUGUUUGGGAAUGCAGUCCAAAAUGGGUGGUAAAUUUCAUCUAAAGCUAAAUAUUGGCGAGAGACCGAUAGCGAACAAGUACCGUGAGGGAAAGAUGAAAAGAACUUUGAAAAGAGAGUUAAACAGUACGUGAAAUUGUCAAAAGGGAAGCGUUUGACACCAGUGUUGUUUUCUCGAAAAUCAAUUAAAAAGAGUUGGAUUUUGUGUUGUAUUGACUUUAUCAGGCUUUCUUCACUCUUUUCCAGCUUUUUUUAAUGCACUUUUCGUUUAACAAGUCAACAUCAGUUUCUUUUGUUGUAAAAAGGUCAUUGGAAGGUGGCUUUCUCUUCGGAGAAAGUGUUUAUAGCCUUUGACUCAUGCAAUCGGAGAGACUGAGGUCUGCAGCGUAGAUCCUUCGGGGUUAGAUACAUUUGUGCUAAGUUAUAGCUUUUCAUAGACAACUUGUUGACUAUGUUUAGUCUUGUAGCUUACUCGCUUACUGCUAUUUUACCUACGCUUAGGAUGUUGAACUCUAUCACACACAG